UGCAUCGGCCGGGAAUCGAACCCUGGCCGCCCGCGUGGCAGGCGAGCAUUAUUCUACCACUGAACCACCGAUGC